ACGCCAGAGCUGGGGAUGGGUAACGAUAGCAGUAGCAACAGACACUGAAAUGGGGGGGGGAGAACAAAGAAUUACCCCUUCAAGAGUUAGAGUUAGCGCGAGAGUAUCUUAUAUUCCGCAGCGUAAAAAAAAGAAAGCCCCCGCUUGUUGAGGAGUAAACUUGGGGAUUGAUACCCUAUUAUUUUGAGUGUUAAUGUUUUUGCCUGAGUAGUAUUAGUUGUGUUCUUGAAACUUAAAGAAUUUGGCGGUAUCCUAUUCCGUUCAGAGGAAUCUGUCUCGUUAUCGAUAGUCCGCGUUGGACCUUACUUAGAGUUAUAUUUUUGGUUUGUAUACCGCCGUUUAUUGAUUAUCUUUUUAGAGUUCCUUAAUUUUCUGGUUUCUUUAAUUUGAUUUAUUGCAGGUCAAGGUGCAGCUUUUUCUAAGUGUAAUGAUGGAUUACAGUGUUAUGUGUUGUUUGGAUUGUUUAUUUUAAUAUUGACAUGAAAUUGGAUUUGGUUGUAAUGUCUUGUAGAUUGUUUUCAUGAUAGUUGGUUCUAGGAUAUGUACACAUCGCCCGUCGCUCUCAUUUAUGU
rnacentral:rRNA from 1 species